GGACAGGGAUACUAGAGUGAUGGAGGUAGAUAUAUAUAGGGGACAGGGAUACUAGAGUGAUGGAGGUAGAUAUAUAUAGGGGACAGGGAUACUAGAGUGAUGGAGGUAGAUAUAUAUAGGGGACAGGGAUACUAGAGUGAUGGAGGUAGAUAUAUAUAUAUAGGGGACAGGGAUACUGGAGUGAUGGAGGUAGAUAUGUAUAGGGGUAAGGAGACAGGGAUACUGGAGUGAUGGAGGUAGAUAUAUAUAGGGGACAGGGAUACUGGAGUGAUGGAGGUAGAUAUGUAUAGGGGUAAGGUGACAGGGAUACUGGAGUGAUGGAGGUAGAUAUAUAUAGGGGUAAGGUGACAGGGAUACUGGAGUGAUGGAGGUAGAUAUAUAUAGGUGACAGGGAUACUGGAGUGAUGGAGGUAGAUAUGUAUAGGGGUAAGGUGACAGGGAUACUGGAGUGAUGGAGGUAGAUAUAUAUAGGGGUAAGGUGACAGGGAUACUGGAGUGAUGGAGGUAGAUAUAUAUAGGUGACAGGGAUACUGGAGUGAUGGAGGUAGAUAUGUAUAGGGGUAAGGUGACAGGGAUACUGGAGUGAUGGAGGUAGAUAUGUAUAGGGGUAAGGUGACAGGGAUACUGGAGUGAUGGAGGUAGAUAUAUAUAGGGGUAAGGUGACAGGGAUA